rnacentral:ncRNA from 2 species
UCAGUUAGCUCUGGAGAGCGGCCAAUAUUUUAGUGGUCCACCGAAGAGGAAAGAGGGCGAUAGCUAAGUGGCUCUUAAACUUUCAGGUUUUGGACAGAGGGGCGGCA